rnacentral:rRNA from 1 species
UCAUGGAAGCUGGUAGUGCCUUAAGUCGCCGAGAUUCAUCGGUGCCCACGGCAAGACUGGUGACUGGGACUAAGUCGUAACAAGGUAGCCGUAGGGGAACCUGCGGCUGGAUCACCUCCUUU